UUGUGGUUAAAAAGCUCGUAGUUGGAUUUCGGCGGGCAUUGGUUGGUUUGAAUUGUUUCAACACUGACUAUUUUGCCCGUGUGUUUUGCCAGAAUUUAACGGGUGCUCUUCGCCGAGUGUCUGUUAGAGCUGGCAGGUUUACUUUGAAAAAAUUAGAGUGCUCAAAGCAAGCUUAAUCGCUUGAAUAUUCGUGCAUGGAAUAAUAGAAUAGGAAGUCGUUUCUAUUUUGUUGGUUUUCGGAAAUCGACUUAAUGAUUAAUAGGGACAGUCGGGGGCAUUUGUAUUCAAACGACAGAGGUGAAAUUCUUGGACCGUUUGAAGACAAACUACUGCGAAAGCAUUUGCCAAGAAUGUUUUCAUUAAUCAAGAACGAAAGUUAGAGGUUCGAAGGCGAUUAGAUACCGCCCUAGUUCUAACCAUAAACGAUGCCAGCUAGCGAUCUGUCGGCGUUUUAUUUUGACUUGACAGGGAGCUUCCGGGAAACCAAAGCGUGUGGGUUCCAGGGGAAGUAUGGUUGCAAAGCUGAAACUUAAAGGAAUUGACGGAAGGGCACCACCAGGAGUGGAGCCUGUGGCUUAAUUUGACUCAACA
rnacentral:rRNA from 1 species